rnacentral:lncRNA from 1 species
GGGGUGUCCCCUAUAGGGCCCCUAUGGCCGUCCCCUAUAGGGAUUUGGGGCCAGCCCCCUGCCUAUAGGGUCCCCCAUAGGGCCCUUUCCAUACGCUCUCUCCCAUAGGGCGCCUCUCACCGGCACGACCCCGAAAUCGAGCGGAUUUUCCCCAAAAUCGAGCGGAUUUCACCCAAAAUCGAGCGGAUUUUCCCCAAAACUGAGCGGAUUUCACCCAAAAUCGAGCGGAUUUCACCCAAAUCGAGCGGAUUUCACCCAAAAUCGAGCGGAUUUCACACAAAUCAAGUGGAUUUUCCCCAAAACCGAGCGGAUUUCACCCAAAUCGAGCGGAUUUCACCCAAAAUCGAGCGGAUUUUCCCCAAAAUCGAGCGGAUUUCACCCAAAUCGAGCGGAUUUUCCCCCAGAACGCCGCCGCCCUCACCCCAAAUGA